CCUACGGGAGGCUGCAGUGGGGAAUAUUGGACAAUGGGCGAAAGCCUGAUCCAGCGACGCCGCGUGGGUGAUGAAGGCCUUCGGGUUGUAAAGCCCUGUGGGCAGGGAAGAAAACGUUGCCGGCGAAUAGGCGGCGACCUUGACGGUACCUGCUCAGAAAGCACCGGCUAACUCUGUGCCAGCAGCCGCGGUAAGACAGAGGGUGCAAACGUUGCUCGGAAUUACUGGGCGUAAAGCGCGUGUAGGCUGACCGGAAAGUCGGGCGUGAAAGCCCUGAGCUCAACUCAGGAACUGCACCCGAAACUCUCGGUCUAGAGUGGUGGAGAGGGAAGUGGAAUUCCUGGUGUAGAGGUGAAAUUCGUAGAUAUCAGGAGGAACACCAGUGGCGAAGGCGGCUUCCUGGACACCAACUGACGCUGAGACGCGAAAGCGUGGGGAGC
rnacentral:rRNA from 1 species